GACAGAGGGGGCAAGCGUUGCUCGGAAUCACUGGGCGUAAAGGGCGCGUAGGCGGGAUGGCAAGUCAGUCGUGAAAUCUCUCGGCUCAACCGAGAAACGUCGGCUGAUACUGCCGUUCUUGAGGGAUGCAGAGGAGACUGGAAUUCCCGGUGUAGCGGUGAAAUGUGUAGAGAUCGGGAGGAACACCGAUGGCGAAGGCAGCUCGCUGGGACGGUACUGACGCUGAGGCGCGAAAGCGUGGGGAGCAAACAGG
rnacentral:rRNA from 1 species